GAUGAACGCUAGCGGCAGGCCUAAUACAUGCAAGUCGAGGGGUAGAGGAAGCUUGCUUUCUUGAGACCGGCGCACGGGUGCGUAACGCGUAUGCAACCUACCUUUAUCAGGGGGAUAGCCCGGAGAAAUCCGGAUUAACACCGCAUAAAAUCACAGAACAGCAUUGUUUCAUGAUCAAAUAUUUAUAGGAUAAAGAUGGGCAUGCGUGCCAUUAGCUAGUUGGCGGGGUAACGGCCCAGCAAGGCGACGAUGGCUAGGGGCUCUGCGAGGAGAAUCCCCCACACUGGUACUGAGACACGGACCGGACUCCUACGGGAGGCAGCAGUAAGGAAUAUUGGUCAAUGGGGGCAACCCUGAACCAGCCAUGCCGCGUGCAGGAAGACUGCCCUAUGGGUUGUAAACUGCUUUUGUACGGGAAUAACCACUGGUAUGUAUACCAGCCUGAAUGUACCGUAAGAAUAAGGAUCGGCUAACUCCGUGCCAGCCGCCGCAGUAAUAC
rnacentral:rRNA from 1 species